AGGUCAUAGUAGUGUGACGUGUAAAAACAUUGUUAUAUUUUGCCGUCCCGAUAUUCCGGCAACCGUAUGAAAUUGUUCUAUCAUCUAGUUGACAUCGUUUGCUAUACACAUCCCAUUAAAAUACUUGCACCAGAAAACAUGUUUAUCCUCUUGUAUUUCUCCGCACUUGUCAUCCCUCAGCUAAGUUCCAUUUGUGCUAGUUAUUUUUAGUGUGGCUGUAUGCCAUUUUUAUUCGAUUUAUGGUUCUUCAUAAGCUCCAUGAAAGGAUUUU